rnacentral:rRNA from 1 species
CCUACGGGAGGCAGCAGUGAGGAAUAUUGGUCAAUGGUCGGGAGACUGAACCAGCCAAGCCGCGUGAGGGAUGAAGGUACAGAGUAUCGUAAACCUCUUUUGUCAGGGAACAAAGGCGGGGACGUGUCCCCGGAUGAGUGUACCUGAAGAAAAAGCAUCGGCUAACUCCGUGCCAGCAGCCGCGGUAAUACGGAGGAUGCGAGCGUUAUCCGGAUUUAUUGGGUUUAAGGGGUGCGCAGGCGGUCUGUUAAGUCAGCGGUCAAAGCCCGGGGCUCAACCCCGGCCCGCCGUUGAAACUGGGAGGCUCGAGUUGGAGAGAAGUAUGCGGAAUGCGCGGUGUAGCGGUGAAAUGCAUAGAUAUCGCGCAGAACUCCGAUUGCGAAGGCAGCAUGCCGGCUCCACACUGACGCUGAGGCACGAAAGCGUGGGUAUCGAACAGGAUUAGAUACCCCAGUAGUC